GAUGAAGAACGUAGUGAAAUGCGAUAAGUAAUGUGAAUUGCAGAAUUCAGUGAAUCAUCGAAUCUUUGAACGCACAUUGCGCCCCUCGGCACUCCGGGGGGCAUGCCUGUCCGAGCGUCAUUGCACCCCUCGAGCCCCCCGUGGCUUGGUCGUGAGCCGCGCCCGCGCCAGCCCCGUCCCCCCCCGUGCAGCGGGGGGCAGGGGCGCCGGGCGGGCUCGAAACGCAGUGGCGGCCCCCGGGCGACUUCCAGCGCGAUGACAUGUUUCGCUGCCGAAGCCUUCGCCCCGGGCGCCCGCCAGGCAACCCCCGUGCUUCUUACGCGGUUGACCUCGGAUCAGGCAGGGAUACCCGCUGAACUUAAGCAUAUCAAUAAGCGGAGGA
rnacentral:misc_RNA from 1 species